CCCCCGCGCCGCGCCAACCCGGGACUCGGCCUCUAGGGUCCGGCCCGCCCCGCCCUCUCCCCGGCGGGAGACUCUGCCCGGCGAUACCCGAGCCCGCCUGAGUGGGAGGGAGCGGAGCCCCUCCGUGCGCUUCUUUUUCCUGUCCGCUGCGGCCUGCACGGUGGCGACUUUCUAACUUCGCCGACCGGGAAGCCGUUUGGGUUCCGCCCGCGCUCCAUCCGGGCCUCGGAGCCUCCUUUUUAAGAAACGGACCCAGAACGCCCGUGCUUCUGGCCCCGCGUCUCCGUUUAAAGUUCACCCCUUCUUUAGAGCUAUUUUCCGACCUCCGCUCAACAACGACCACCCAAACCAAACCAACGACAAAAAAUCCAGCUUUGGGCCCAUCCUUUGGAGUCUCUAGCACGGACCUCUCGCCCCGCUACCCAGGGUCCAGACUAGGUGACCGCAAACAUUUGAGUGAGAGAAUCUUCCUUUGGCGGUGGUGGUGCGGUGAGGACGACAGUAAUGGAGGAAUGACUGGUCCUACCCCGCGAUACCACACCACUCUAAACGCCGUUUAAUCCACUUCGCCCCUAUCCCCAGAUGUUCUUCCUUGUUGGGAUCUACCACUUCCGUGGGGGAGGAGAUUCUGCCGUACCCUUCUUUGACCCUUCAGCCACCUCAAGGCCGCCCUGCUUCUGGUGAAGCUAUUUGCUCCUAAUGCUGAGCAGAUGUACAUUGUUAAUCACUUGAAAGAGAGCCCAGCAGAAGAGAAAUGUGCUGGAGGAAGUGCCGGGAGAGCCCGUGGGGACAUAGAAGAUUUGGCAGACCUGAACUCCAGCAAGCUUGAAGCUGUCAUUAUACCAGUGGUUUUGGGAUGGCCCAGGACUGCCCUAUCAGCGGUUCUGUGGAGGACUCCUUUGGCUGCAUUUCCCACAUGCUGGCAGCUGACACCUUCCUGCUGAGAAGUCACAGUGGGUUGGGAUAAUCUUGUGGAUGGAGGGGGAGAAAAAGGAUGAAAAGCUUACUGCCUGGUAUCUUCUCUUCUGGUAGGUUUGAUGAUGCUGCCGGGGCCACUGCUGUGCAGAAGUCCGACUGUGCUCAGGGCUGCGGGGAGGGGGCUCCUGCCAGGCCACUGCCCACAGAGUGGCUCAGAGGUGGCCCCUCCACGGGAGCCAUGUGUAGAGAGAGGUUCUGUUUUGUCCCGGGAAGAACCAAAAACUAUGGAUUCCACCUAUGGAAGGUUUACAUUCCCACCGGGGAGGAGUGAGGAAGCACCGCUGGCCCAGAAUAGGUACAGAGCACUUUCCUUGUCUUACGUACUGAGUUUGCUUGUAUCUCUGCUCCCAGCUUAUGGAUUAUGAACUCAUGAUUGCAAGAGGUUUUUGUCUGUUUUGUUGACUGCUUUAUCGCCUGCACCAGGAACAUCCUCUGGCAUAAGAAGCCCUUGAUAUAAAUUUGUUGAUAAAGAACGCCCACCAUUUAUUCAGAGUCUCCAAAGAGGUUCCCCUUAUAAGCUAAUACAGACCUUAAGGUGGGGUCAUAGGGCAUGUAGCUGACUGUGAUAUCUUUUUCAGAUAAAGGCUUCCAAGCAAAGUUGUUAUAAAAUAUAUAAAAACAUAUAUAUAUAUAUAUAUAUAUAUAUAUAUA